UCAUUUUGGAACUUUAGCACCAUGUAUUUCACAUUUCCAAGAAUUCAAAUUCAUUGAACUGUUCAAAUUUUGACAUCAAACUGAAUGUUCAUCCGUUACUUUACUAAUUUGAUGUAUAGGGCUCCAUCUGUUUUUUUUUUUUUUUUAAAGAUUAAGAUGUCUAAAGCUCUGAUUAUAAUUAAGACUCUUUGUUUUCUUAACAUUUGAAUACAUAAAAUUUUACUUUACUUUUUGUUGCAAAAAUUGCUCUCUAAUUAAGACUCAUUUUUUUCUUAACAUUUGAAUACAUAAAAUUUUACUUUAUUUGAAACCCUCAGGGGUUGGCCUGGUGGUAAUUGGCUUGAGCCUUGGGGUUUGCUCCCUUUCAAGGUCUCAAGUUCGAAACCCACUGGGUGCAUACAAUUUCUGAGGGCCAUCGGACUGGGGUAAAACCCUGAAUUACCCGUGGUGCACUUGCGGGAAACUCCUUGCCGAGGGCCUGUGCACUCCCGGGAUUAGUCGGGGCUCAAAGAGACCCGGACACCCGGACACCCGGUGCUUAAUCAAAAAAAAAAAAAAAAAUUUACUUUAUUUGAAGCUAGUAUCUGUUAAAUUCACAUAAAAUAAUAAAUAGGCAUUAAAUUCACAAAAUGCUAGAGCAAAUUUUAAUGCAAAAGUUGUUUUGUUUGAUGAAACACAUUGUAAAAGCUAAUGGUGGUUGUAGUUACUAGCUAGCAGUGGUGAUUGUUGACAAUGAUGGUUAUGAGGUGUUUGCUGGUGGUUGGUGGAGGUGGCUGGCAGGGGUGAUUGUGCAGUGGUAGCUAGAAGUGAUGACUAUGCAAUGGUGGCUGCUGAUAAAGGUGGUUGGUGGUUGUAGUUGAGCGCAGGGGCGGAGCCAAGUGGUAGCCAGGGCGUUCACCUGAACCCCCUUCGUCAAAAAAUUACCAUGUAUACACAAGGUAGUCGUAUUGAGAUCAGAAUUGUCAUUGCCAAAUACCAAGAGAAAUAAUGGGGUUAUUCGCAGCAAGAUGCUUGAAACUAGUGUUAGUUCUGAAGCGACCCCCAAAACUCAAGUCCAAAAACUGGUCGAUCUACUCCAUGUAUGUGCUAAAGAAGAUUUAUUAAAUGAAACCAAAGCUAUUCAUGGUUAUAUUCUGAAGUCUAAUAUUUCAGAUAAUAACUUGUUGCUGUUGCUUAAUCAUGUAUCACACGCAUAUUCAAAAUGCUCAGAUUUUAGCUCUUGUCAGGUAUUGUUCGAUAAAAUGUCACAGAAGAAUGUCUUUUCUUGGACUGUCAUGAUUGUGGGGUCAAUAGAAAAUGGAUUUUUCUAUGAUGGGUUUAAAUACUUCCAUGAGAUGCUAAAUUAUGGAGUGCUGCCAGAUGGAUUUGCUUACUCAGCUGCACUUCGGUUGUGUAUUGCUUUGGGAAGCCUUGAAUUGGGUAAAAUGGUACAUGCUCAGAUUGUUAUAAGAGGCUUUACUUCUAAUGUUGUUAUUAAUACAUCACUACUUAACAUGUAUGCGAAGUUGGGGAAUGUUAAAGAUUCAUCUCUGGUUUUCAACAGUAUGAGUGAAAGGAACGCGGUUUCUUGGAAUGCAAUAAUAUCAGGACUUACUGCUAAUGGUCUUCAUUUGGAAGCGUUCAAUCAUUUUCUUGAAAUGAAAAAUAAAGGACUUUCCCCAGAUGUAUACACUUUAGUUGGUGUGAUGAAGGCAGUUGGGAGAUUAGGUGAUAUUGGGAAGGGUAAGGUAGUCCAUAGUUGUGUCUGUGAGUUGGGUUUGGAGUCUAAUGUUGUUGUAGGAACUGCACUGAUUGAUAUGUAUGCUGAAUGUGGAGCUUUAUGUGAGGCAAGGGCUGUUUUUAAUUCUAAUUUCACCAAUUGUGGAGCAAAUAUGCCAUGGAAUUCAAUGAUUUCUGGUUGUGUACAGUGUAAAUGUAGCCAAGAAGCUCUGGAGCUGCAUGUUAAUAUGUGUAAAAAGAAUGUUACGUCUGAUAUAUACACUUACUGUAGUCUGUUCGAUGCAAUUGCUGAAUUGAAGUGUUCCAAGUUUUUAAGGGAGGUUCAUGCAGCAGUUCUUAAAUCUGAAUAUGAUUGUAUAGCCCUAAGCGUGCAAAAUGCAGUUGCAGAUGCUUAUGCUAAAUGUGGGUCUAUUGAGGAUGUAAGGAAGAUCCUUGAUAGAAUGGAACAUAGAGAUGUAGUGUCAUGGACCACCCUUGUAACUGCAUAUUCUCAAGAUUCCCAAUGGCAGGCAGCUAUAGCCGUCUUUUCUCAGAUGAGGGAAGAAGGCUUUGUAGUCAAUCAGUAUACUUUGGCUAGCAUCCUUGCUGCAUGCGCUAGUCUAUGCUAUCUUGAGUAUGGUCGACAACUUCACGGGCUCCUGUACAAAACUGGCUUACAGAAUGAGAGUUGCACAGAAAGUGCACUGGUGGAUAUGUAUGCCAAAUGCGGGAGCAUAAUUGAGGCCGAAAAGGUAUUUGGUUGUAUUUCCAAUGCUGAUGCCGUUUCGUGGACGGCCAUGAUAUCCGGGUAUGCCCAACAUGGUUCUGUAUUUUGUGCACUUGAACUAUUCAAGAAGAUGGAGGAGUUGGGAAUUAAACCUACUGCAGUUACAUUAUUGUGCAUUUUGUUUGCUUGUAGUCAUGGUGGAUUGGUUAAAGAAGGUCUUCGCUUUUUUUGGUCAAUGGGUAAAAGGUAUAAUUUGGUACCAGAGAUGCAACACUAUGCUUGUGUGGUUGAUCUCCUUGGCCGCGUGGGCCUUCUAAGUGAAGCAUUUGAAUUUAUCAGGAAAAUGCCUGUUGAACCGGGUGAAAUGGUUUGGCAAUCACUGUUAAGUGCAUGUAGGCUUCAUGGUGAUUCUGAGCUAGGAGAAAUAGCUGCCAAGAAGAUCCUUUCUGUUCACCCUCAAUAUUCAGCUACAUAUGUUCUUUUAUCCAAUACAUAUAUGGAAACUGGGAAAUUUAGAGAGGGAAUUGACUUGAGAAAUGUGAUGAAAAAGCAAGGGGUUAGAAAGGAGCCAGGCUAUAGUUGGAUUACGAUUAAUGGUAAGGCCCAUAAAUUUUAUUCGGGAGAUCAGGAACACCAACAGAGAGAUGACAUUUAUCUUACGCUGGAAGAACUAAGGGUGAAAAUGAAGGCUCUAGGUUAUACACCAGAUUUUAGAUAUGUUUUGACAAGUGGAGAUUGAAAUAGAACCUUUUAGCAGCUACUUAAUCAAGUCAACAUAUGGAAGUACAAUGUUACAUAAUUUUGGGGAAUGACUUAUAGGAGAAAGUCUCUUUAUGAUGAGAGUUUUGAACUCGCGGAACAUAUCAUUAGAAAGCAAACUUUGGUGCUACUACUACUUGAAAUCCUAAAUUCUAAAAACUAAUAUUUUAUUGGCGACUUGUCUUUAGGUUUAAUCAUAGCACAGAGGUUAGAUAUUCUGUGCAAAAUGAACUAUUUACCACCUCCGCUACUACAAGACGGAGUAAAUGCAGAAACGUGGUAGACAAAUGAACUUUUCUUUAUGUUUUUCUCAUAGCACAGUUGUGGGCCUUCCUUUUUCUUUCUGUCUUGUUAGAAGUGUGCUCUCUCCAACAGCUUAAGCUUUUAGAUGAGAUGGUCACACACUUCGACAUGUCUGUUGUAUCCUAAACACUCGUUGCAAAUUCUGUCUCACAUCUUGAAAUUUUAAGCUGCAUGGCAUUAUGAAAGAUGCAACUUCAAGAGUCUCCCCAAAGGAAAAAGUGCCAAAAGCAGGGAAUCAGGGACCUUGUAUUCUUUUUGUCCCUUCUAAAUAUUGACUUCACUGGGACAUGCCCAGUGAGAAAAGGGUUCCUUUGGGAUGAAAUGGACUUGAACUGAGAUGAACAGAAUGGAUAAAGAGAACUCAUACAGCUCAUACAGCUGACACCUGAAUUAUUUGUUAUUAAGGCACAAUUGGUUGACUGAUUGAUGGCAGGACGUCUUAUAUUCAAAUCCAAAUUACCUGCAUUCUUUUAUAGACUGAAGUUCCAAGCUUGUGAAUUUUCGCUGAGUAGGAGUAUUUUCAUGGAUCAUAAACAUGCCAUUUCUUGCUACUAAUUGCUUAGACCAAGCCAGAAGUAGGAGGCUCUUCUCUAUGUUUCAGCAAGGAAGAAUUUAUCUUAAGAAGAGCUGGAGACAUUUAUAAAUUAAAGGGAUAGAAAGAGAGCCAGGUGAUGUUGCAAGAGGUAGUUUGGAGUAUCAUGGGAAAGAUUGGCAUUUUAAGAUAAUCCAAACCAGAUCACAACUUGACUGUUAAGUAUUCCAAUGUCACCUGAUAAAACCCCACAAGUCUAAGAUCAACGCCCACCAAGUUUUUAAUGAGAUGCAUGGACAGGUUGCAACAAGAGCUAUGUUUAUAGUAGUUGCAUUGGUUGUUCAUCCAUGCAAACUCAAUAUUUGUCUUAACGAUAUUUUGUUGUCCCAUAUGGCAUGAUAUUAUCUUAUGAACUGAUUCUUAGAGAAAGUAGGAAGCAUACAAAUUCUUAUUUGCUGCGAGAAAUGGACUAAUUCUCUUCAGGAUUAAGGUCUCUUAAUCCACGGAGGAAGAUAUCUUAUAUGAGAAUUCAGUUAAACAUUAA